rnacentral:lncRNA from 1 species
AAAACUGACCGAGUAAAUGUGAAUAUUUUUUCACUUGAACACUCUGAUCUGUUUGGAACUUAAUUUCCUUACUCAUGAAAUUAAUAUAAUAAGGCUAAGUUGGUCAGUAGUUAAACUAACUAAAUUUGGCUGAAGAUUGCUAUGUUCACUAUGCAAAGAUUAGACCGUUAGUUCCCUGAGUGAAGAGAUGCUAUCUUGGUAUCUCCAGCUUCCAACCGGGGGCUUGGCACAGAAUAGGGGCUUGGUAAAUGUUUUCCAAAUGAAUGGGAUGUCUGAUGGAAAGAAGACAAGGUGAAGGAAUUCCUGGGUAAUAUGGAGAUGAGAAUCUGUGAGAAGGAUACAUGUACUGAUGCCUGUCGCGGUGGACACACAGACGCACACAUUGCGGAACACCACCAUAAGAAUAUUGAGAAUAUCGAGAACACUUCAAUAUUCCAAACUUCAAUGGAAAUAUACAUGCUGUAAAAUUUCAAAUUCAUGCUCCACUUCUUAUAAAAGAAAUCCAGCAGCUUAAGGGUAGAAGAAAGAUAACAGGAGUCUGUCCCUUCGGCCAAAGAGUUUCUUUUCAAAGUUCGUGGUGGCAGCCUGAUGUCAGCUGGGGAAGAAGCUCCAUUCUUUUUCUGGCAGAACUGACUUCUUUGCGGGAGAGCUGUGGCAGCCCCUUUGCUUAUUCCCAGCAUGGAAAGACCACAAGAUCCCUGCUCCUUAUGGCUCUGGCAUGCAAUGCACUCCCUAGAGGGACCCCUUACAAGGCUACCAAUAACCUAUCAGCACCUCCAACUC